rnacentral:lncRNA from 1 species
CUGCUUUCCUAGAGGCUCCUCCGCGGUUAGCAGGAAGUCUGACGGCUGUGGUCAUCUUCUGAGAGAACCACGCCUGCCUCCGCUGACCCUCUGGCUACCCUUGCCUGUGUGUUGCUGACCUCUGCCCCACUCCUCCACAGGGUCCUUGUGCAGAUGGAAUGAAACCUGGGCGUAGCGCCCUGGGGAGUGAGCAGGUGGUAGAGGCUGUCGAAUCAGCAACAGAAAGGUGCCGCAGCUGUCCCUCCUGCCAUCCUCAGCUGGCCACAGGCCCGCGGUGAGGCUGAAGGGGUGAGGUGUCCACCAUCCCCCAUUUCCCUGUGGCUCUGUGAGGGCACAGACCCUUGUUCCCCUAGAGUCCACUCUGCCACCAGAUGCCUAGAGCACACGCGGCUCCCAGAGAUGGUCAUGGCCUCAUUGAAUCUGCCUCCUACUGGUAUCAGGGAGCCAACCUGGAAAGGACAUCCCGGUCACGAGAAGACCCCACUCCUGAUCCCUCAUAUCCCCACAGGGCUGGUGAGGCUCAGCAGGGAUAUGCAAGACGCCAACACAGUACAUUCACGUUGCAAAUCCUGCCUCCUGUUCAACUAAUCUUUCCCUAAAUGACCACAGGCUAACCACCCUACUGCACUCGGAAAUGUGGGCUGUCUCAUAAGACCCUCCCUCGUGGCCACA